rnacentral:lncRNA from 1 species
AGCUACAGGUGCAGAGGGAACCUGGUGCCCACUUUUUGCGGCUGCUUCGAAGCAGAGGAAGGGGCCAGUCCUGGCCCCAUUCCCCACCGUGCACAGGGGACCAAGGGUCACCAGUCUCCGUUUCCUUUGGCCUCCGGCUCAUUCAGGCACUGUUGUGGCUUCUCCUUUCACGCGAGUUAACCCCCCAGGUUGUCACCCUGAAGGCCUUCCGUGACCAGCCUGUCAAACUCUUGCACUUGAUCCAGUGGUGGGAAACUCUUGCACUUGAUCCAGUGGUGGGAAACUCUUGCACUUGAGCCAGUGGUGGGAAACUCUUGCACUUGAUCCAGUGUGGUGGGAAACUCUUGCACUUGAUCCAGUGGUGGGAAACUCUUGCACUUGAUCCAGUGGUGGGAAACUCUUGCACUUGAUCCAGUGGUGGGUGCUCUCCCUGAUGUUAAGAGGAGAAGCCCUUUAAUCCUGAGUCCUGCGCUUCCCACGUCUGGUAUCAGGGACCCGGGCUUUCCAGUGAGACGUCUUCUUUCCCUCCCUGGAAGGAGGCCAAGCGGCCCGGACACCCCAGUGCUGGAGCCACGGGCCUGUGGGGGCCCCUCUGAGAAGGAGGAUUGUCCCUGCGGAAUUCCUUUCUUUCUUGGCAGGAGCACUGAGUCCCGGUCACACGUUCCUCAGGUCCCUGCACUGGACCAGGAGGCUCUGAAGCCCUCAGGUAGGGUUUCUUAGCCCUGAAGUUUGACUCUUAAGUCACAAAAGAAAAACACCUCUCUGACGGAAAGGGAUUGUCUCCACUCAGCCCAUUAGAAUAACCAGCGUCCAGCCGUGUGCAAGAAAGUUCCAUCAACACCACAAGAUUCGUUUGAGGACGCUGGACCCCACGCCCGUGCGGAAGGCAAGAUGCAGUCCAAGCUGCGGAGCGCUGGGCUUCCAGAACUCUGGGGGUCUUGGCCUCCUCAGCCAGCGGAGUGGCCUCCCCUCCCCCUGGCCUCCGUUUCCGUCUCUUCCCACUCUCCGCUCUGCGAGGGCCUUGGGCCGAGCCGCCGAGCAUCCCUCCUUUCCAGCAGCUGCACCUCUGGGCGGGCGCUGAGCCUCUGGGAGGCUGAGCCUCACGACAGGCUUGUGAGGGCAUCGGCCCGUUUCCCCAUCAGUGUCCCCAGGAACCUCUCAGACUAGAUCCCUCCAGCUCCUGAGAAUGUCACAUUCCCCCAAACCCAUUCGGUUUCUUGCAGGUAACUCCCUGGGUGGAUUCCGCCGCCCGUGGCUAGAAGCAGUGACAGUAAAACGCCUCAUUCUGUUGGGGUCCGUGUGGCCGCCCUGCCCUCUAAGGCCUGUGAGAGGCACAGGGUGCCCCAGGCAACCUCUUACUGUGUGUUUCAUGAUGUUAGUCUCUCCAGGUAAGUGUUAUUUAUCCAUGUGGAAUAAAGAACCGGACCUGUAUCAGAAAACAGCGUCUCAGGAGUUCCCAUUGUGGCUUGAUGGAAAUGAAUCUGACCAGGAACCAUGAGGGUGUGGCUUGGAUCCCUGGCCUCGCUCAGUGGGUUAAGGAUCCGGUGUUACUGUGAGCUGUGGUAUAGGUGGCAGACGCAGCUCGGAUCCCACGUUGCUGUGGCUGUGGUGUAGACUGGCAACAAUAGCUCCCAUUAGACCCCUAGCCCAGGAACCUUCACAUGCCAUGGGUGCGGCCCUAAAAAGCAAAAAAAAAAAAAAAAAAGAAAAGAAAAGAAAACAUGAUAAUGUUUUAAAACCAGCCAGAUACAAGUGUAUCUGUACCAAGAGACUUUUCUUUGGUGCCUGGUCCUUUCCCUUAAUCCUCAGAAUACUGUAGAGACACAGCUGAAGGUAGCGUCCAUAGCUGAGGUCUCCUCUCUGACCAGCACAGCUCCAGGCUGUUCGGCUGUGUUACAAGGUCAAGGUGCCACCAACAACGCAACCCCAGAAAAACAGCGAGUUCUGCAAACCACGGUGGAAGAGUAUGUUGUUGCGACGUCAUAACUUCCUCUUCACAAGCCCUCCAUGGGAGGUUUGGUCCCAGUUAAGACACAGGGACAUCAGGAGAAAUUGCUGAGUGACGGCUCCAGGCCGGGUGGUGUGGAGGGAGCCGGGAGCAGAUCUCAGAGCAGCCAGGCCAGCGCUCCUCUUUGGACACGGCUCCCGUGAGCUUCAUGAGGGACAGAGGACAGGCACCGUCUCCCCAGCGAGCAGAAAGCUGCCCUUCUGGGGAAGUGAGGCCCAGGCCAGAGCCCAGGGGCGCCGAGAGCUGUCCUGGACACUGGGCUUCCCUUCCUCUCUCAUUUAUGGUCGGCUUCCCGUGAGGAACAUGAUGCUUCAGAGACCUGGGUUCAUCUGGUCCAGGGCCCUGACUGGGACAUCUCUGCGGGUCAGCUGACUUGUCGUCGGAGAGCUUGAGCUCCCACAGGAAAGCUCUGCGUGGGUGUGGGGGAAGGAGAGGGGGCAAGGGGUCAACGGGAAGAGCUAGAAAGGACAGUAUCCCCGGAAUUUUCCAAACCAGCCGCCCUCGGAAGAGGAAGAGAGUUGACCUUCACACCUCGCAAGUGGGCAGAUAGAAGAGACAGGCCUAGCCCAUGCCCUGUGCCCAGAGGUCUCCUCUAGGCCUCUUUGUGCUGUGACAUGUUCCAGGCUUCACUCCGUCUUCUUCUAGAAGCGGUGAAGGGAGCUCCCCAGGUCCGCGGCUCCUUGCCCCCUCAGCCCUGCCCAGACCUGGUGCCUGGCACAUCCCUUUAGGGGGUGCUGUGUGCCAUGCGUCUUGGGAACUCCAAGGUUACAGGUAAAGGAUGGGGGCACACCAGCAGAAUUUGGGCACUGAGAUGCAGGCGUUUUUCUUGGAGACAGUUUAGAUACUUAUUUAGAAUUCUAAAGUAUUUGUCUCCUCAACAGGCUCAGUGUCAUACGUACUUAGGCUCUGUGCGCCGUUGGAUGAGAGAUGCAGUUGAGACCAGACUGGAAAGCCUUUGGGAAGGGCUGGGUCACAGCACACUCUGGGCACAGUGACAACCUGGACCUGAGGACCAAGAGAACCCCUGGUUGGGUGUGUCACCGGCCAGGGCCUCGUGUGAGGCAGCGUGGUGUGGCAUGAAGGCGCUGCUACCAAAGCUGGAGGGUGAGAGAGCUCAUCCUGGAUCUGCCAUCAAAACGGCAUAGCCUCUGAGAGAAGGAGGUUGGACUAAGCACUCCCCUAGGCACGUGCCACACUUCCCAGCGGCAGUGCACACCGAUGGCAGGAAAACAGGCUUCCUUCCCGUGAGGUUU